UGGAUGUAGAUCAGUGUUAGAGCACUCACCUAGCAUGUGUUAAGUCCUGGGUUCAAUCCCCAGUACCACAA
rnacentral:tRNA from 1 species